rnacentral:rRNA from 1 species
CACGUAGGCACCAAGCGUUAUCCGGAUUAUUGGGCGUAAAGAGCUCGUAGGCGGUUCGAUAAGUCGGGUGUGAAACCUCCAGGCUCAACCUGGAGACGCCACCCGAUACUGUCAUGACUAGAGUCCGGUAGGGGAGCGUGGAAUUCCUGGUGUAGCGGUGAAAUGCGCAGAUAUCAGGAGGAACACCAGCGGCGAAGGCGGCGCUCUGGGCAACAACUGACGCUGAGGAGCGAAAGCGUGGGGAGCGAACAGG